rnacentral:lncRNA from 10 species
CGGGUUCAAGCGAUUCUCCUGCCUCAGCCUCCCAAGUAGCUGGGAUUACAGGUGCCCCACCACACCAAGCUAAUUUUUGUAUUUUCAGUGGAGACGGGGUUUUGCCAUGUUGGCCAGGCUGGUCUUGAACUCCUGACCUCAAGUGCUCCACCUGCCUCAGCCUCCCAAAGUGCUGGAAUUAUAGGCGUGAGCCACUGCACCUGGCCAGAGGGUGGGCUUUUAAAUAUGGGGAGGACAUGCAGUGGGGAUGUUAGGAUUGAAAGUUAAUCAGAUUUAGAUUUGGAGGGCUAUAAAUGCCAGACUGGAGAGUUUGAACUUCAUUUUGUAAUGGUAUAAAGAAAAAUGGAGGGGAAAGGAAUGUCUGUUCUGCCUGGGCACUGAAGUAGCACAUACCUUAUCACAUUCAGCCUUGGUGAGCAAUGAAGGUUUUGAACACAGCACAGAUACAUUUGAAGAAGGUAAACUGUAUGGGAUGCAGGAUGAAUGGAAGUGAAGGAGUUUACAAGUGGGGUUCCAGUUUGUAAGUUAUGUGAAAAUCCACUGGUGAAGAGUAGAGAGUUAGAGCCUAAAUUACAGUGAUGGCAAUGGAAUAAAAAGGGAAUAUUUAAUUUUAUCCAUUUUUGUUUUGUUUUGUCUUUUGGAGACAAGAUUUCAGUAUGUUGCCCAGGCUAGUCUCAAACUCCUUGCCUCAGGCAAUCUUCCCACCUCAGCCUCCCAAAGCACUGGGAUCACAGGCAUGAGCCACCGUGGCCAGCCCUGGCCCUGGGACAUUUUAUAUAAAUAUGCUAAUAUGUGAUAAAUGUUUUUUUACAGUGAAAUUAUUCUUAAGGUUUUUGGAGAGAAAAUGUAUAAAGGCUUUAACUAUAUAAAGUAUGUGUGAUUUUAAUAAAAUUAAUGUAGUUAUAGUAGUUAUACUGAAUUGAACCGACAAAUAUCUUUUUAAACAGAAACUCUGGUUCAUCAGUUUUCCACAAUUGAUUAUUUGAUUUUUGGAUAUUAGUUUUUUUGUUUUUUUGUUUUUUUUUACUAUGGACCCCACUUGAACAGUUACAAUACAUUCUCUUGCAAAUAUUUUCAGCCCAGAAUGCCACUUGUUGCCUGUACCCGAAUGAAACUCAGAUAUCUGGAAGCUUGAAUCGGAGCCUAAACUUAGCCCCCUACUGACUUGGAGAAGAAUCUAAACUUGGCAAAAUGCCUCCAUCUCUCUUCAGGCAACGGUCAAAAAGUAGCUCCCUAGCCCCCCACCCUCAACUAAUGAACUAUAUCUAAUAGCCUCCCUUUAGAGAGUCCUUUGAGAAAGAGAUGGCGUUUGUUUUUGACCUCAUUAUCCAUUUCAGCCUGUCCUUGAUGAAAAUAAUCGCCCCUUAGGCAGGUACAUUCCUCACAUUCCUCUCCCAGUUAGCUGCUAAGACGUCGUUAACCCCAGUGACCAUGGGAAAACGCCGCUGUCUGCUUCAGAGAGUCUAAGGGGAGUGGGCCCAAGAUAACAAGAGGUGAAGAGGUCAGAGUGGGAGCCCCUUUCAUCUUUUCAGGCUGUUUCCAACCCAGACAAAGGAUUCUGUCCAGGGGUGCAAAGCCCACGCGGCUUUAUUUUAUGGUGUGGCCCUGAAAGGGGGCUGGGAGGGCCGUGUCUUAUCUGGAUAUUGUUUUGGAGGCGAAUGCCGGGCUCCCGGGAAGUCCUCGACUCCUGGGGGAAUGCUAAGUGGAAGGAAGGGCCAGCAGCCCCCACUUGGGCGGAAGAGACCACCCAGCUACUCAGAGGAGGGUGUGAAGGGCUUGAAUGGAAUGAGCUGCCCUACAGGAUUUAUCAUUCAGACAGUGAGAUUAAGGGUGUGAGACUGUUUAGCUGCUUCAAAUCAGGGAAGCUCUUGGAUUUGCCGCGAAAGAGAGAAAGGGAAGGGGGCAAGUGGCGGGGGAAGGGAGGUCGGGUGGUGUGGAGACGGACGGCAGGCAAGGACAAUUUGGAAAUCUGUGGGGGAGGGGGAAGAUCCGGAUUUCCUCCCAUCUUGCCGCUAACCUGCUUUACACUUUGAGCAAGUCACUUCUUCCUUUUGCAAAAUGAAGGGAUUGGAAGGAUACCAGAAGGUGCCUCAAGGGGCUGCCUUGGACUAAGGGGAGGGGAAGACUUGUGCUGCUCCACCUCCUCCCCCAUACCCUUUCCCCUAACUUGCCUCAUUGACUGUGUUUUAUUAGAAAAGCAACACAGCCCGUCGGCCCGGCGCGGUGGCUCCCGCCUGUAAUCCCAGCACUUUGGGAGGCCGAGGCGGCGGAUCACGAGGUAAGGAGAUCGAGACCAUCCUGGCUAACAGAGUGAAACCCCGUCUCUACUAAAAAUACCAAAAAAAAAAAAAAAAAAAAAUUAGCCGGGCGUGGUGGCGGGCGCCUGUAGUCCCAGCUACUCGGGAGUCUGAGGCAAGAGAAUAGCGUGAACCCGGGAGGCGGAGGUUGCAGUGAGCCGAGAUCGCGCCACUGCACUCCAGCCUGGGCGACAGAGCGAGACUCCGUCUCAAAAAAAAAAAAAAAAAAAGGGAAAAGCAUAACACACAUUUCAUUGUUUGUUUAUUUAUUUAUAGAGAUGGGGGUCUUGCUAUGUUGCCCAGGCUGGAGUGCAAUGGCAAUUCACAGGCUCAAUGACAGCUUUCUACAGCCUUGAACUCUUGGGCUCAAGCGAUCCUCCUGCCUCAGACUCCUAGAAAGCUGGGCCUGGCAACAAACUUAUUUAUUUACUUAUUUUUUUUUUUCUAGAGACUGGGGUCUUGCUCUGCCCCAGGCUGGAGUGUAGUGGCACCAUCAUAGCUCACUGCUGCCUCGAUUUCCUGGGCUGAAGGGAUCCUCCCACCUCAGCCUGCCUAGUAGCUGGGACUACAGGCACGCAUGUGCCACCAUGGCCGACUUAUUUUUAAAUUUUUUGUAGAGACAGGGUCUCGCCAUUUUGCCCCGGCUGGUCUCGAAUGCCUGGGCUCAGGCGAUCCUCCCGUCUUAGCCUCCCAAAGUGCUGGGAUUAUAGGUGUGACCCACUGCACCCGGCCCAACAAAUUCAUUUAAUCCAAGUUUUGCUUGAUGUAGGAGCCUUCAGAAAUGAAGGUCCAAAGACCCAGGGAAAAUGGUCUCUUUUUUUGCUUAGGCUGGGUGAAGAAUGGACAGCUGUGUAGAAACAGGAUUGGACAAAAGGGGAUGAUCUAGUGGUAACAGACUGAGAGGGAGGCCCAGCAAGGCCUUCUGUGCAGAUUCGCCUUGGUCUCCCUGUGUAGCAUUCCUUCCUCCAGGGUCUGGGGCAGGACCUUCUGGAAUGAAGGUCUUCAAGGGAGAAUGGAGGCUGAGCGCGGUGGCUCACGCUGGUAAUCCUAGAACUUUGGGAGGCUGAGGCGGGCGGAUCAGUUGAGGUCAGGAGUUUGAGACUAGCCUGGCCAACAUGGUGAAACCCCAUCUCUACUAAAAAUAUAAAAAUUAGUUGGGCUUGAUGGUGUGUGCCUGUAAUCCCAGCUACUUGGAGGUUGAGACAGGAGAAUUGCUUGAACCCAGGAGGCGGAGGUUGCAGUGAGCCGAGAUCGCGAUGCCGCACUCCAGCCUGGGCGACAGAGCGAGAGACCCUGUCUCAAGAAAAAUAAAAGAAGGGAGAAGGGAGAGAGAGUGACCUUUUUAGGUUUUAGGGCUUGCUAUUGGGGAGAGGGAUCCUAGUUUCCUUUCUUUCCCCUCUCCUCCCCUCUCCUCCCCUUCCACUCCCUUCCCCUCUCCCUCUGCUCCCCUUCCCCUCUGCUCCCCUUCCCCUCUGCUCCCCUCCCUUCCCCCCUCCCCUCCCCUCCUCCCCCAUCCUUUUCUUUCUUUCUUUUUUUUUUUUUUUAAUAGGCGGAGUCUUACUCUGUCACCCAGGCUGCAGUGCAGUGGCACGAUCUCAGCUCACUGCAACCUCCGCCUCCCAGGUUCAAGCAAUUCUCCUGCCUCAGGCUCCCAAAUAGCUGGGAUCACAGGCGCCCGCCACCACGCCCGGCUAAUUUUUGUAUUUUUAAUAGAGGCGGGGUUUCACCAUGUUGCCCUGUUGGCCAGGCUGGUCUCGAACUCCUGGCCUCAAGUGAUCCCCCCCGGCUCGGCCUCCCAAAAUGCUGGGAUUACAGGCCUGAGCCACCGUGCUCAGCCUUGGGAUUCUAGUUUCUAUAACCCGCUUUGGGGAAGGGGAAUUUUGUUUUCUAGGAUUUUGGGUGGAAGAAGCAAGGGCGAGAAACAGGAGGGCAGGAGGUCAGAGAGAACUGACUUCUGAGGCUGCUUUGGAGGCCUUCCAGCCUCCUUUAGUUCAUGCCAAAGUGCCACGCUUUGGAGUGUUGUUUUGGAGCACUAGCAACAUCUCCUGUUUGCCCCUGCAGAUUGCCCCCCAUCCGCCUGCACCCUGCUGGGUGCUCCAGGAGGCUUCUGUGUGCUGCUCCCCUGUCCUCCUCUGGCUUCUGGUUGGGUUUGAGGGAUAUUCCUUCCCCUUCUUCCUCCCUUCCAGAUCACCGAAGACUAACAGAGUCCCUCCAUCAAAGCCUGCAGCUCCUGUCUGGGGGCCCUUGAACCCUCUCCAGGUAUGUUUUCAGCUGUGAUCCUUUGCUGCCCUCAGGAAACUUACCAGUUGACAGGACAAAAUUGAGACACAUUGUUAGAGCAACAAUGGAGUACAAUUACAUGAGAUGAUUAGAAAUUCAAAGAUAGGCCAGGCACGGUGGCUCACGCCUGUAAUCCCAGCACUUUGGGAGGCUGAGGCAGGCGGAUCACUUGAGGUCAGGAUUUCGAGACCAGCCUGGCCAAAUGGUGAAACCCCAUCUCCAUUAAAAAUAUGAAAAUUAGUAGGGCAUGGUGGCACACACCUGUAGUCCCAGCUACUUGGGAGGCUGAAGCAGGAGAAUUGCUUGAACCUGGUAGGUGGAGGUUGCAGUGAGCUGAGAUUGUGCCACUGCACUCCAGCCUGGGCAACAGAGCAAGACUCCGUCAAAAAGAAAGAAAGAAGGAAAGAAGGAAGGAAAGAAAGGAAAGAAAGAGGCUGGGCGUGGUGACUCAUGCUGAUGCCUGUAAUCUCAGCACUUUGGGAGGCUGAGAUGGGCAGAUCACGAGGCCAGGAGAUCAAGGCCAUCUUGGCCAACAUGGUGAAACCCUGUCUCUACUAAAAAUACAAAAAAAUUAGCCAGGCAUGGUGACACG